GUCUACGGCCAUGCUACCCUGAACAAGCCCGAUCCCAUCUGAUCUCGGAAGCUAAGCAGGGGCAGGCCUGAUCAGUACUUGGAUGGUAGACCACCUAGGAAGACCAGGUGCUGUAGGCA
rnacentral:rRNA from 1 species